UCCACGGCUUCACGGCAAAGGGAAAAUCAGGGCAUGUAUUUCCUUGCAGAUGUUCUUUGAGUUUCUUUGGGCUCAUGAUGGAAGGCAAAGAAGCAGAUGAUGACAGAAGGCGCUCUGUGUGGAGGGGAGGAUGCGGCCAAGAUAUGCUUCGGUUCCUGGGGUUCGGCACUGAUGCUUGACCAAGUUCUAAAGAAGUUCCUACAGGAACCGGGAAUCAGGCUCGCUCUGCCAGAAGAAGGAUGCCGACGCUGGAGGAGAGGUUAAAGUCACUUGUCUGAGUUCACACCGCGAGCAGGUGGAAACAUGGAGAUUUGAACCGAGUCUUUCUAACGCCGGAGCCCACAGAUUGCAAGGGGAACCACAAACACCCGGUGCCCACGGAAGACCUGGGCCCUCUGGGUUUGGCAGGGCCAAGGAGUUUGGUCACUCCAGCUUGUCCCGAGGAUUUCCUGGAACUUCAAAUAAUUCAGGAACGGUGUUUUUCCUUCCAAUCCCGUCUUGCCUGGGAAAACAAGGAACCGGAAGCCCAUCCCUAGGCGCUGUCUGUCUGCUCCACACUGGAGCGGCCAGGCCAGCAGGGCAGGGCAGGCCUUUCUGCCAGAUGCUCCAAGGCUGGGCCUCCCUCCCCUAAGCCUCUGGCUGCCCUCCCCACCCACCCAGACCGCGUCCCUCUGGCUCCCAGAGCUAAUCGGCUCGGCCAAACCCACCUCCAUGUGCAGCCCAGACAUUCUGACGCAUCAUUCAUUCAAAAAGAUCUUUUAGAGCCAUUAUAUAAACAAGCACAGUCCUAGGGUCUUGGGGGCUAAAACAGAGACGACCCUGCCCUCUGGGAGCUGGCGGGCAGGAAUGCGCAGUAAAUAACCAGCUAGUUAACCAAUGACUCGCUUAACUACCGUCGUAUACAUUCUGCACAUUGCAGAGUUGCUAAGACAGUGCAACUGUCCUGGGAUGGGGUCCUGACUGAAAAGGAGGGAUGAGAAAAAGCCUCCCCCAGGAAGAAGACAGGAUGGCUGGAGCACAGAAAGGGCUGGGCGGCAAGCGAGGCCCCAUCCCGAGGGCCCGUCACAGAUCAGGACUGUCUCUGGCACAAUGAGACCCCUUUGUAGGGUGAGGUGGUGAAUUACUGGUGAGUGUAAGUCAGGGGAGAAGCGAUGACAUAGAUGCCACCAAAUUCCAUGAGUCGCGUGGAAUUGGGGUCUCGGUCCCUCUAAAGCGGUAAUUUGUCCCAACUUAAAGGCUGUCCCUUAAAGUGCUUGUGGCAAAUGUCCUUGGCCAUGAUGCCCUAAGCCAGGCAAUCCUCUUGAGAGGAAGUGUUCGCCCACCUCUCCCCAGCAGUCUGGGUCCCAAAGGUCUUCCCGCAGGGCCGGACGUGGAGGUGGGCCCUUUACUGCCCACCAGAGAGGUGGGUGUGGGGGCAGGAGUGGGGGCCAGACAAGGCAAAGAGUAAAGUGGUGCCUGAAUCUCAAGGAGACUCUGAUGGCGAGAGUGUCCCUGGGUUCUGGGAAAGACCGAGGGACCCCUGAACAGCAUUGUCAGAGUCCACCCUGCUGUCCCCACCGGAGAUGGAGGCUUCGGGUCCUCAAGCCUCUCUCCAUGUGCACCAUAAGGCCAUGUCCCAGAGGGUUCCCGGAGGUCUCUUCUCACCCUGACAGUCUGGGACCUGAUCCUUGGAAGAUAUGAUACAUGCCACCCCCAGCUGCCUCCCCAGGACAGUGUUUCACGGGGGGACAACGCUGAGAGCUAGCUGGGGCUGGAGAGGAGAGGGGGCGCGACGUGGGAUGACAACCAGGACUUUGGGGUCAGUGACGGAUGGGAAGGCAAGACAGGAAGCAGCCCGUGGCCACAGGCUGACUCCACCCAGAGACAGUUCUGCCUCUGCCAGCGUGUCCCGAAGGGAGGACAAUUUCGACACACGCGCUGAGCACGCCUGUAUGUCCCACACCCCCUAGUUAGGGAAAGUUAAGUGUUCUUAAAAUUAUGUUCGGAAUAUAAUUUAUUUCACAUUUAUUUCAAUACGGGAGACUAUAUCUCCAACAUCUUAAGAAAAUGUGAUUAAAAAAAAAAAAUUCCUCUUACCAUAACUAAAGGUACUGUCAGUGAUCAAAACACACACCAGCUCACAGCGUUAGAGACCCCGCUGUGCUGCCUGUUGUGGCAAAGCCCUCUUCCCAGCAUCGCGUACACGGCCACCUGCCUGCAGACUUCCCACCCAGCUCGUCCCCUCCGAGGAGAGGUGACUUCCCGGAGGGGCUCUUUGCACAAGUGCAUUGUUGGCCCCGUGGUAGCGCUGCUAUCAUGCGUUGAAAAGAAUGUGAGACUCCAAGAGAUAAGGUCUGACAUGAAAAGAAAGUAGGAAUUUCUAAACCAAAUAAUCGAAAGUUGCCAAUUCUGUUUCCCAGCUCUCCUGACUGAUAACUUAUUAUCCAAAGGCCGAGUGUACUUGUGUGGUAUUGCUCUGGGCAGUGGCCACAUCCAAGAAAAACCCAGCCCCAGACAUCUGCGGCUCUGCGGCUUAACAUCCCAAAGCUGCAUAGAACCUCUGCCUCAUGAGGAGGCCCUGUUCCCAGGGGAGUCGGAGGCAACAAUUCCUUGCACUUGAGCUUGGGAGAGUGACUGGCGCCCUGGCUGGGACAUUAAGAAAUUGUUCUAGAACCAGACAGCUCUGCUCCUUAAUAGCUGUGUGCUUUGGCGAAGUCUCCUACCCCUCUGGAACCGCUAUAUCUUAUCUCUAAAAUGACAGCAACAACUCAACAGCCUUUGACUGAGGACAGGCUGUAUGCUGGGCUGGACGGUAUGUGUUAGGAUGUAGUUAUUACGCCAGUGAGCGCAAAGCAGUGGACACACAACACGAAGGACCGAAGGGUGAGAUAACUCCAGGUCCGAGAGCAUCACUGUUUCCCCCGGAGCACGGAAGAAAAGAUUUUGUCGCCGUG
rnacentral:lncRNA from 1 species